GGAGGUGUUUCGGGGGAUUUGAGUUUCAUUUAGUAAGACAACAGCAAGUUCUCAGAGAAUCCGCAAGUGGCAAAGAGCCUGUCUCCACCAGGUGGCACUGGCCCGAGUUUCAGAUGCAACCAGACAAAUGUUUGCU